rnacentral:rRNA from 1 species
CGUAGUGCAGCCAUGCCGCGUGUAUGAAGAAGGCCUUCGGGUUGUAAAGUACUUUCAGCAGUGAGGAAGGCGGGUACGUUAAUAGCGUGCUCGUUUGACGUUAGCUGCAGAAGAAGCACCGGCUAACUCCGUGCCAGCAGCCGCGGUAAUACGGAGGGUGCGAGCGUUAAUCGGAAUUACUGGGCGUAAAGCGCAUGCAGGUGGUUUGUUAAGUCAGAUGUGAAAGACCCGGGGCUCAACCUCGGAAUUGCAUUUGUAAACUAGGCAGACUAGAGUACUGUAGAGGGGGGUAGGAAUUUCAGGUGUAGCGGUGAAAAUGCGUAGAGAUCUGAAGGAAUACCGGUGGCGAAGGCGGCCCCCUGGACAGAUACUGACACUCAGAUGCGAAAGCGUGGGGAGCAAACAGGAUUAGAUACCCUGGUAA